rnacentral:rRNA from 1 species
GAUGAACGCUGGCGGCGUGCCUAAUACAUGCAAGUCGAGCGAACAGACGAGGAGCUUGCUCCUCUGACGUUAGCGGCGGACGGGUGAGUAACACGUGGAUAACCUACCUAUAAGACUGGGAUAACUUCGGGAAACCGGAGCUAAUACCGGAUAAUAUAUUGAACCGCAUGGUUCAAUAGUGAAAGACGGUUUUGCUGUCACUUAUAGAUGGAUCCGCGCCGCAUUAGCUAGUUGGUAAGGUAACGGCUUACCAAGGCGACGAUGCGUAGCCGACCUGUGAGGGUGGUCGGCCACACUGGAACUGAGACACGGUCCAUACUCCUACGGGAGGCAGCAGUAGGGAAUCUUCCGCAAUGGGCGAAAGCCUGACGGAGCAACGCCGCGUGAGUGAUGAAGGUCUUCGGAUCGUAAAACUCUGUUAUUAGGGAAGAACAAAUGUGUAAGUAACUAUGCACGUCUUGACGGUACCUAAUCAGAAAGCCACGGCUAACUACGUG